AUACACCCUGGCUGGGAUAGCAGCAUGACCUCUCUCUCUCCCACACACACACACAGGCAAUUUACAGUUGUCAGUCCACAUACCGGCAUUAUUUUGGACAGAGGAGGAAACCCGAGAUGAAACCCACGGGGGCAGUACCUGGACCUGAGGACUGAACCCAGGACACAGGAGCGAACGACUCAUCACUACAUCACAGACAUAUAGGACAGAAUUCCCAGAUCUUCUGCAGGCAUAUACGCGUGUGCAUCCAUCUGCAUUCCAAGGCUGUCCACAAAACUGGUUGGGAAAACAAAGAGUACAAAAGAGAGCCACUUCCUGCUCCAUGGAUGAUACCCUCAGCAACAAGAGCAGACAAGUCACAGCACAACAAAAAAGGGAAGAGGGGGAAAAAAACACGCAUAAUUAAACCACAAGAGAUGAAACAGACCCCUAGCAUGGCUGGGUCCUGAAUGGGGGUGUAUUCACCUAAUCAAAGGAGGACUCGAUUACCCAGGAAAGAAUAAUCGCACAGAACGAGACGGCUGGGGCUCCUCCAACUGCAAAGCCACGACCUACAGGGUUCGCUUCAGUGCAGACAAAAAUGGACUUGCACUCGCCGACUUUAAGGUGCAUUAGUUCAUCUUAUCAUAUUUAAAAAAAAAAAAAAAAAAAAAAAAAAAGGAACAGAAGGCCAUACGUGUCCUGUAAAACAG